UCCUUUUGGUAAAUAGGGUGAGGCCACUCAAGAGUACAUAUACAGAGCAAGGCCUGGCCUUCAGCUCCCAUCUCUUUAUCCUGGGGUGGGGGGGACAACCUGAGCACAGCAGUCACCCUGAGGCAGCACCUCCAGAGGAUGCACUGGAGACCAAACUCUGGCCUUGAGGGAGACAGGUCCACUUGGAAUUAGGACGGGGUACCACGGGUGUAGGACCUUCUCCACUAAAGCUUCGCAGGAUGAGGAUCCUCCCUCCCUCCCUGCCUUCCACAGCCCUGUGUAGCAAGAGCGGCCUAGGGCUGCGGGGGAGAGAACCACUCCAAACCGGAAUGAUCUGGUUUAAGGCAAGCUGAUUCUCCCUCCGCUCUCCCCCGCCCUCCCUUCUCCUCCUGCGACAGGCUGCUUUUUGCCGCAGUCCCCUGACCAAGGUAAACAGGAGGGAGGAAAGAAAGCUCUGUUUCCAUGGCAACCUAGAGGGCGGUCGAUUUGGCUCUCUCGGAAGUGCUUGUAUGAAGGGGAAAAGAGACCUCACUGGAAAAGCAACAGGGAGGAAAGAUCCUAGCCGCGUUCCUGAUGGGGGUUAUUCUGGAAGGUGAUGUGGGCCUGGAGCAGGAGAGGUGAGGGGCCUGGCACCCUCAAGUGAGGUGGCAGAUGGAGCCCGGGACCUGGAUACCAGAAAUGCCACCAUCAACCUGGGAGCCUUGGCAGCUGUGACUGGCGUUCUGCAUGCCCCUCUGCUUCCUGAGGCUACUCACUUCCUUGCUUGCAUGUGGCCACAGUGGCAAGUUCCAACAGUUUCUUCAGUCAACGACCCCUCCCUCUCGACUUUGCAGUUUGAGUCACCUUCAAUUUCCUGCCUGCCUGCCCCUUCCCUGAUUGACCUGAUAAAUCCAGGACAGCUUUUAUUGCUUUUGGCAAAACAUUGCCAUUAAGAUUUACGGAGCCAAAAGCUGGUACAAUGUAAUCUUCAGAGUAAUUUACACAGUGAGUUUCAAAAGAUGAAAAGUUAGCGUUUCCGGGGUAAUUUCAUAAAAAGGAUUAUCAGAUUAAUCACUGUGUCGAUUUAAUCGUGGUUUCUAAAAUAAUUAAUUAGCCUGCUUGAAGUCAGCCAUGCAAAGAGGACCCCAGAAGGAAUACAAAUGGCCGUGUCAGAUGUAAGUAUGUUUGGGGCACUAGAUCUUGAGAGAAUUCCUGCUGAAAUUACCUCGGGAG
rnacentral:lncRNA from 1 species